AGAUUGAACGCUGGCGGCAUGCCUUACACAUGCAAGUCGAACGGCAGCACGGGAGCAAUCCUGGUGGCGAGUGGCGAACGGGUGAGUAAUACAUCGGAACGUGCCCAGUUGUGGGGGAUAGCCCGGCGAAAGCCGGAUUAAUACCGCAUACGACCUACGGGUGAAAGCGGGGGAUCGCAAGACCUCGCGCUAUUGGAGCGGCCGAUGUCGGAUUAGCUUGUUGGUGGGGUAAAAGCCUACCAAGGCUACGAUCCGUAGCUGGUCUGAGAGGACGACCAGCCACACUGGGACUGAGACACGGCCCAGACUCCUACGGGAGGCAGCAGUGGGGAAUUUUGGACAAUGGGCGCAAGCCUGAUCCAGCCAUGCGCGUGAGUGAAGAAGGCCUGGGUGUAAAGCUCUUU
rnacentral:rRNA from 1 species